CCUGCCCUUCAGAGGGGGACAACAGUUGGAAACGACUGCUAAUACCGCAUACGAUCUAAUCUCGGCAUCGAGGAAAGAUGUAAGGUGGCCUCUAUUUAUAAGCUAUCACUGAAGGAGGGGAUUGCGUCUGAUUAGCUAGUUGGAGGGGUAACGGCCCACCAAGGCGAUGAUCAGUAGCCGGUCUGAGAGGAUGAACGGCCACAUUGGGACUGAGACACGGCCCAG
rnacentral:rRNA from 1 species